UGCCAGCCGCCGCGGUAAUACGGAGGUUGCAAGCGUUGUUCGGAUUUACUGGGCGUAAAGGGAGCGCAGGCGGCUUGGUCAGUCUAAAGUGAAAUCCCGGGGCUCAACCCCGGAAGUGCUUUGGAUACUGCCAGGCUUGAGUACGUGAGAGGUGAGCGGAAUUCCAGGUGUAGCGGUGAAAUGCGUAGAUAUCUGGAGGAACAUCGGUGGCGAAAGCGGCUCACUGGCCAAAGACUGACGCUCAUGUGCGAAAGUGUGGGUAGCGAACAGGAUUAGAUA
rnacentral:rRNA from 1 species